AGUGAACGCUGGCGGUAGGCCUAACACAUGCAAGUCGAACGGCAGCACAGUAAGAGCUUGCUCUUACGGGUGGCGAGUGGCGGACGGGUGAGGAAUACAUCGGAAUCUACUUUUUCGUGGGGGAUAACGUAGGGAAACUUACGCUAAUACCGCAUACGACCUACGGGUGAAAGCAGUGGAUCUUCGGACCUUGCGCGAUUGAAUGAGCCGAUGCCGGAUUAGCUAGUUGGCAGGGUAAAGGCCCACCAAGGCGACGAUCCGUAGCUGAUCUGAGAGGAUGAUCGGCCACACUGGAACUGAGGCACGGUCCAGACUCCUACGGGAGGCAGCAGUAGGGAAUCGUCAGCAAGGGGCGAAAGCCUGACGGAGCAACGCCGCGUGAGUGAUGAAGGUCUUCGGAUCGUAAAACGCUGUUAUUAGGGAAGAAAAAAUGGGUAAGUAACUAUGCACGUCUGGACGGUACCUAAUCAGAAAGCCACGGCUAACUACGUG
rnacentral:rRNA from 1 species